UACAGAGGGUGCGAGCGUUGUCCGGAAUCACUGGGCGUAAAGGGCGCGUAGGUGGCGACCCAAGUCGAUGGUGAAAGCUCGCCGCUCAACGGCGAGUCGGCCACCGAUACUGGGUUGCUGGAGCACUGUAGAGGCUCAUGGAAUUCCGGGUGUAGCGGUGGAAUGCGUAGAGAUCCGGAAGAACACCGGUGGCGAAGGCGGUGAGCUGGGCAGUAGCUGACACUGAGGCGCGACAGCGUGGGGAGCAAACAGG
rnacentral:rRNA from 1 species